CAGCAGCCGCGGUAAUACGUAGGUGGCGAGCGUUGUCCGGAUUUACUGGGCGUAAAGAGCGCGCAGGCGGUCGUGCAAGUCGCGUGUGAAAGCCCCCGGCUCAACUGGGGAGGGUCACGCGAUACUGCUCGACUCGAAGGCAGGAGAGGGAAGUGGAAUUCCCGGUGUAGCGGUGAAAUGUGUAGAGAUCGGGAGGAACACCGGUGGCGAAGGCGGUCUUCUGGACGGUGACUGACGCUGAGGCGCGAAAGCGUGGGGAGCAAACGGGAUUAGAUACCCUGGUAGUCCACGCCGUAAACGGUGGGUACUAGGUGUGGGUUUCCUUCCUUGGGAUCCGUGCCGUAGCUAACGCAUUAAGUACCCCGCCCGGGGAGUACGGUCGCAAGACUGAAACUCAAAGGAAUUGACGG
rnacentral:rRNA from 1 species